GGGAAGGUGACCGAGCUGGCCGAAGGUGCGUCCCUGCUAAGGACGUGUGGGCUUUAAAACCCACCGCGAGUUCGAAUCUCGCCCUUCCCG
rnacentral:tRNA from 2 species